rnacentral:sRNA from 1 species
GAAGCGUUCCUCCACAAAUUUUGCAUCCUCGACGAAAAUAGAUUUUUAAAGACAUAGUUUUCUCACUGAAACUGAAAAUCGACGCAUCCACGAAAUAACAUCCCUCCGAAUGAGCAAACAAUCGCAAUCCAUGAAAAUAUCAAUGAUUUCACAGUAUUAAGAAAUGUUGGCGGUAUUAAGAUUCUCAAGUCAUUUUAAGUUUAAAAUAAACUCACAAAAAUC